rnacentral:rRNA from 1 species
UACAUAGGCCUCGAGCGUUAGGCGGAAUUACUGGGCUUAAAGCGUGUGUAGGUGGAUGCCUAAGUACCUUGUGAAAUCCCACGGCUUAACCGUGGAACUGCUGGGUAUACUGGGCGUCUUGAGCCACUCAGGGGCUACCGGAACAAGCGGUGGAGCGGUGAAAUGCGUAGAUAUCGCGUGGAACGCCAAUGGUGAAAACAGGUAGCUGGGGGUGUGCUGACACUGAGACACGAAAGCCAGGGGAGCAAACGGG